rnacentral:rRNA from 1 species
UACGUAGGGUCCGAGCGUUGUCCGGAUUUAUUGGGCGUAAAGAGCCCGCAGGCGGCUUGGCAAGUUUGAGGUGAAAUCUCCCGGCUUAACUGGGAGGGGGCCUCGAAAACUGCCAGGCUUGAGGCAUGGAGAGGGAUGCGGAAUUCCCGGUGUAGUGGUGAAAUGCGUAGAUAUCGGGAGGAACACCAGUGGCGAAGGCGGCAUCCUGGCCAUGUCCUGACGCUCAGGGGCGAAAGCGUGGGGAGCAAACCGG